rnacentral:rRNA from 1 species
GCUCAAAUUUGAAAUCUGGUACUUUCAGUGCCCGAGUUGUAAUUUGUAGAAUUUGUCUUUGAUUAGGUCCUUGUCUAUGUUCCUUGGAACAGGACGUCAUAGAGGGUGAGAAUCCCGUUUGGCGAGGAUACCUUUUCUCUGUAAGACUUUUUCGAAGAGUCGAGUUGUUUGGGAAUGCAGCUCAAAGUGGGUGGUAAAUUCCAUCUAAAGCUAAAUAUUGGCGAGAGACCGAUAGCGAACAAGUACAGUGAUGGAAAGAUGAAAAGAACUUUGAAAAGAGAGUGAAAAAGUACGUGAAAUUGUUGAAAGGGAAGGGCAUUUGAUCAGACAUGGUGUUUUUUGCAUGCACUCGCCUCUCGUGGGCUUGGGCCUCUCAAAAAUUUCACUGGGCCAACAUCAAUUCUGGCAGCAGGAUAAAUCAUUAAGAAUGUAGCUACUUCGGUAGUGUUAUAGCUUUUUGGAAUACUGUUAGCCGGGAUUGAGGACUGCGCUUCGGCAAGGAUGUUGGCAUAAUGGUUAAAUGCCGCCCGUCUUGAA